rnacentral:lncRNA from 1 species
AUCAUUGUUGUUUAUUUUACAAGUUAUUAAACCCUUGUUUUAUUUGUAUUCAGUACAGAAAACUGAGACUUAAAAGUUUGGAAGCCUGGAAAGAAAAGGAGGGGCCUGAUAAAAUACAGGCAAGAAAGAGAAGAAAGGAAGUGAAAUAGAGAGGAAUACACUAAGAAGGACGCUCAAAGUGAUUGAGGCUGGAACUGUGAUGUUUCCAAUAAUUUUAAAUAUCUGACCUGAGACGAACUGGAUCUGAAUUUUUAGGCAUGCCAUGUCCUGCUAAUGAGCUUUCAGCUACAUCUGGUUUUCUGGGCAGGAAUCAAAGCCUGGAGAGUCUUAGACCUGGAGACCAGAGCUGCAGGCAGACUUGGCAAGCUCCUGACAUCCAUCUCAGCUCCAUGUUCAGCUGGCAGCAAUGGAAAAGCCAGAGAGCUUGUCAAAUCUACAUUGGUGACAUAUUGUCUCUGCUGGACUCAGUGCUGGGCAAGAACAGAUGUAAAUGAAACUCCUCUCUGACAUCCACUUCUUUCCCUGCAUUAUCAGUUUUGGAUAGACUUAAAGGCAAAAGAUGCAGAGCCAGCUCCAAAAGGUAGGUGUCUGC